rnacentral:rRNA from 1 species
AGCGAACGCUGGCGGCAGGCUUAACACAUGCAAGUCGAGCGGGCACUUCGGUGUCAGCGGCAGACGGGCGAGUAACACGUGGGAACGUACCCUUUGGUUCGGAAUAACGCUGGGAAACUAGCGCUAAUACCGGAUACGCCCUUUUGGGGAAAGGCUUGCUGCCGAAGGAUCGGCCCGCGUCGGAUUAGCUAGUUGGUGGGGUAAUGGCCUACCAAGGCGACGAUCAGUAGCUGGUCUGAGAGGAUGAUCAGCCACACUGGGACUGAGACACGGCCCAGACUCCUACGGGAGGCAGCAGUGGGGAAUAUUGGACAAUGGGCGCAAGCAUGAUCCAGCCAUGCCGCGUGAGUGAUGAAGGCCUUAGGGUUGUAAAGCUCUUUUGUCCGGGACGAUAAUGACGGUACCGGAAGAAUAAGCCCCGGCUAACUUCGUG